rnacentral:rRNA from 1 species
UCUGGUUGAUCCUGCCAGUAGUCAUAUGCUUGUCUCAAAGAUUAAGCCAUGCAUGUCUAAGUACAGACUUAUACAUAGUGAAACCGCGAAUGGCUCAUUAAAUCAGUUAUGGUUCCUUAGAUCCUACAAUCCUACUUGGAUAACUGUGGCAAUUCUAGAGCUAAUGGGGGGGGAAACAGCUCCGACCUCACGGGAAGAGCGCUUUUAUUAGAACAAAACUAAUGGCGGUCGCAAGGCCGUCUCACCUUGGUGAUUCUGAAUAACUUUGUGCUGAUCGCAUGAGCUUGCCUCGGCGACGUAUCUUUCAAAUGUCUGCCCUAUCAACUUUCGAUGGUACGUGCUAUGCCUACCAUGGUUGUAACGGGUAACGGGGAAUCAGGGUUCGAUUCCGGAGAGGGAGCAUGAGAAACGGCUACCACAUCCGAGGAAGGCAGCAGGCGCGCAAAUUACCCACUCCUGGCACGGGGAGGUAGUGACGAAAAAUAACAAUACGGGACUCUUACGAAGCCCCGUAAUUGGAAUGAGUACACUUUAAGCCUUUUAACGAGUAUCAAUUGGAGGGCAAGUCUGGUGCCAGCGGCCGCGGUAAUUCCAGCUCCAGUAGCGUAUAUUAGAAUUGUUGCCUUUAAAAAAGUCCGCAGUUGGAUCUCGAGGUGCAAGGUUGCAGGCCCCUCCUUGGGCGUGCCAGCUUGGACACUGACGUACUUGUUCGAGGUUUUGUCCGUUGGAGCUCCAGCUUGAGGUGUCUCGAGGAGGGCGGCAAGUGUUUGAUUAAAGACGGAAGGGAACCGGGCGGUAUUGAGAGGACCGUGCGCGGGGGAGAAAUAGUAAAAGAGAGAGGGAUUCUACAGUGGGGAGAAAAUCAGCGACGCAACGAAAGCGCGGACACAGAGUGAAACUCGCCCCAUUAGAGAAUAGAUAGGGAGGGAACGAUAAGGAAGGCGCCCGCAGUAAAGAGAGCGAGGAGGUAGGGGACGACGAAGGAAGGAGGAAAUGUAAUGAUGCGGGGACACGCGGAGGAGGAGGUAGGUCAGUAGGAGGGCUUGAGAAAGAGGCCGAAUGAUGAACGGCGCCGGGCGCCUGUAGUGGUGGUUGUCUGAUAGAGAGAGAGAAAUAUAGAGAGGUAAGGAUGAUAGAGUGGGGAUGGAUAGAAUGUUGCGCGUGCGUUGGGUGAUAUGUCGAUAGUGGGAAGCGAUCGCGGAGGGUGGUGUAGGUGCGGCG